UAUCUCACCGUAAAAGAAAAUAAUCAUCCUUUUGCUCCUCGCCUCCGGUAAAAUGGCAAGCACGUCGCCGGUGUGCGCCCUGCGCCCAUGGUUUCUCACUUCCACCGUCGACUCUCCUGUCUUCUCCUCGACGCCUGCAUCGCACUUCCUUCCCCUCCCCUCGCCAUCUCUGACAACUGCCGUCCUCCUUAAACGGUUGCACUAGCGCUGAGGCGCUGACCGGCCCAUGGCCUAGGCCAUUAUACAAGAUGCAGAGCUGGCGCGUGAGGAUUUCGUAGCUAUUCGACCCUCGCACGACGCUGUGACGCGUCGGCGACCAAUCGCGAUGUUGUGUGCUCCGCCGUCGUCCCUCACCGCAUGUCCUCGAGGCAUUGGCAGUCGUGUGCAUCUUCCGGCGCGCCGUGCGAAAGGCAUCGUCCUUGCCUCAGGAAGAAAUCGAGCGCUGCUUGGUCCAGGCUUGCUUCACUCCACGCUGCCAUCAGCUUGGGCUCGCCUUCCACGCCACCGGCACCCUUCUCUGAGCCGAUGCUGCAUCUCAACUAUGCGCCCAUCCUCCUCCGUGCUGUCGCAUGAUCGAGGACAGACGGAAAGUCAUCGCCUACAGCCCAUUCGUAGCUUCUGCACAAAGGUCCCCAAAUACACUCCUACAGAAUCUGCCACCAGCUGUCUGAAUCAGGCCUUCCCUAUUUAGACUCCAUUAUGCAAUCUACAUGGUAUUUAGUGAUGCUUACAUUUACACUACAUGGUAUUCAGUUAGUUGUAUAUAAUUACACUGCACUAGAAUUAGUCCUCCUGAACACAAGUGUACUUCCAAAAGUUCCUUCCCUUCCAUUCCUUUCAAUUUUCAGUCAUACAAUCCUGAUGAAUUUGUAUCAUAAAUGUUUUCUCUAUUUUAUAGCUAGAGUUGGGCCAACAAUAGCUCAAGAAGUGUUGUUUUCCCUACGGGCAAUGAUGUUGGCUGCUUAAAGAAAAGGAAUUGUCUCUAGGUAUUUUCGCAUUCUGAAACAUACAUUCUUGUCUCUAGGUAUUUUCGCAUUCUGAAACAUACAUUCUUUGGACGUUUGAAUACGACACAUGAUCUAAUGUGGAGCUGUUAUUUUUUAUUGCCAUAGGAGUAGGGUAACAUAUAUAUAGCUAUUGGUGGCACCUCCCAGCUUUAUUUGCAUUCCUUUCAUCAGUUUCAUGUUUAUUUUUCCCGUUGCAAAUGUUGUGACAUCGUUGUUUAUAUUUGAUUGAUUUAAAAAAAGCACAAAACCGUACUCGAUGA